rnacentral:rRNA from 1 species
UGGGGAAUAUUGCACAAUGGGCGCAAGCCUGAUGCAGCCAUGCCGUGUGUAUGAAGAAGGCCUUCGGGUUGUAAAGUACUUUCAGCGGGGAGGAAGGGAGUAAAGUUAAUACCUUUGCUCAUCGACGUUACCCGCAGAAGAAGCACCGGCUAACUCCGUGCCAGCAGCCGCGGUAAUACGGAGGGUGCAAGCGUUAAUCGGAAUUACUGGGCGUAAAGCGCACGCAGGCGGUUUGUUAAGUCAGAUGUGAAAUCCCCAGGCUCAACCUCGGAACUUCAUCUAAUACAGGCAAGCUUGAGUCUCGUACAGGGGAGUAGAGUUCCAGGUGUAGCGGUGAAAUGCGUAUAGAUCUGGAGGAAUACCGGUGGCGAAGGCGGCCCCCUGAACGAAGACUGACGCUAAGGUGCGAAAGAGUGGAGAGCAAGCCGG